UUAUUAUUAUUAUUAUUUUGUAUUAGGUUGACAUGAAUCCCUUAAAAACUCUGAAGUAUGAAAUGGGACAAGCUUCAAAAAUUCCCAAGCAUGGACUCAUUCAGCCUGGUGCCUUAGCAAAGGGACUAGGUCAAAGUUUGAAAGUUAUGAGCACUACAAGAGUUAAUGCUGAACAAAGGACUUCGAUUUCCAAAAAUAGAAGUUACAAUGCCACAACUUCUAAGUUGAAUAAGCUAGCAGACAAUAGUUUCCAUGUGCAUCCUUGUUUUGAUGAAAAGGAAGACAAUGCUCCCUUCCAUCAAGGAGCUGAAAUGAAUCAAUACACUUUGACUAGUGGUGCAACGGCUCGAGGACAAACCUUAGGGAUUAAUGUUGAAAAAUCGACUUUGAUUGACAAAAAUAGAAGUACUACAACAACUUCUAGUUGAAAUAAGUCAGCAAAGACUAGUAUCCCUGUGCCUCCUAAUUUUUAUCCAAUGGAAGACGAUGACACCCUCUUUCAAGAAGCAGAAGUUACUCGAGAUGCUCAAAGAAGUGAUAAUUUGAAAAAGAGUUAGUCCAGUUAAUAUAUUUGAUCAAGAAAUUUUGCUUAGCUUUCUUUACUUAAUCUUUUUUGUAUUCUUUCUGUUAUUAAUAAUGGGCAUGAACUUCUUAUUUUGGUUGACUUUCAUCAAAAUUUGCAGGUGAAUUUGAAUUUGAUAAGUAAAAAAAAGUGAUUGGAGUGCCUCGAUCUGCUCAAAAAAGUGAUACUAGAAUUUUAUUUUAUUUGUGCAACUUUUUUUGUUAGUUGAAUUGAAUUGUUAGUUUUUAUAACUUGCACUUAAAUUUGCAGGUCCGUUUGAAUCUAGAAAAGCAAAAAAAGUGUUUGAAGUGGCUCAAGGUGCUAAGGAAACUGAAACUAGUCUGUUUGAAUUUGACAAGGCUAAAAAAGUGACUGAAGUGUCUCGGCAAGAUCAAAGAAGUUUGUUUGAAUCUAGAAAAGCAAAAAAAGUGGUUGAAGUGGUACAAGAUGCAGAGGGAAUUGAAACUAGUCCAUGUGAAACAGAAAGGGCAAAGAAUGUGAGGGGAACAAAUAUUUGUAAGAA